CAUAUUACGUUGAAACACUGGUUUUCGUACGAUCACAGAACUUAAGCAACAGUGAGCCUGGUCAGUACGUAGAUGGGUAACCAUUUGGGAAUACCAGGUGCUC